rnacentral:rRNA from 1 species
UACGUAGGGUGCAAGCGUUGUCCGGAAUUAUUGGGCGUAAAGAGCUCGUAGGCGGUCUGUCGCGUCUGCUGUGAAAAUCCAGGGCUCAACCCUGGACCUGCAGUGGGUACGGGCAGACUAGAGUCAGGUAGGGGAGAACGGAAUUCCUGGUGUAGCGGUGAAAUGCGCAGAUAUCAGGAGGAACACCGGUGGCGAAGGCGGUUCUCUGGGCCUGUACUGACGCUGAGGAACGAAAGCGUGGGGAGCGAACAGG